CCUCCUCCCUCCCCAGCAUCUCGUCCGCCCCGGGUGCGGGGGUGAGCUGCUGCACCCACUCCCCUCCUCCAACUCCCCCACCCCUCCUCCAAUGGAGAGAGGCGUCGUGCCUAUUGCCAGGACGGGACAUGGGGGUGGAGGCGAGGGAGAGAGCGGGUGUUGCUGAAGAAGCUGGGGAGGCAAGACGAGGGCGGCGUGGCGUUCCGUGGCCGCGGUGGCCGGAGGGGCGGCUCCACGUCGCGGUGUAUGAGGUGCCUAGAGGAGGAUGCCGCGGCAGGUUAAACUCUUCUCCCGUUGUAGAACAGUCCGCAGUGUCGUCACCGUCGUCCUUGCCUUCGAGCCAUCCGUGACGCCGUCGCCGUCGCCUAGAGGACGCCGGUAGGAAGCAGCAGCUCGCCGUUUCCUUGGUCCCCGCCGACAGCAAGCGAGAAGAGAAGGCACGUGUGCUGUAGGUGUAGCAAAUUGGACAAGCUACACCGCUAAUGCCGGGUGUAUGGAGCUCAGGAAGGCUAUCUGCAACAAGCUUCAGGAGGAUAAUGGUCUAACCUAUAGCCCAGAUCAUGUGCUAGCGACCAAUGGGGCUAAGCAAUGCACUACACACGCUGUUCUUGAUGUUCUCUCAUGUGGUGAUGAGCGCCAUGGAUUAGUCCCUGCUGUAGGAGAGAGAGAAGAUGAGAGGGAGAGAGAGAAGGAAGGAGAGGAGGGAGAAAGAGAGAGGAAAGAGUAGCUGGAGGUGCGUCGACCGGCGUCGGCAUGUGCUGGCAAGGUUGGGCGGGACGGGGCGGUUGGCUGCGGCUCCGUGGUUCCAGAUGGGGCACCGUGGGGAACAAGGGAGGCGGCUUGGCCCAGCCAUGGCGUUGGUGCUGCGGAGCGCCGCCUCGCGCUACUUCGUCGUCGACACUGCGGGCUUCGCCACCGCCUACGCGAUGCCGCCCCAGGGGGAUCAGCAGCAGCCCCCCUCACUGUAGGGGCCCAGCCAGCAGGUCGGGGCCAAGCUGGGGCCCUGCGCCGAGUGCAGUGCCACCGGCACCAAGAAGUGCUCCGGGUGCAAGCGCAUGCAUAUUGGUCGGCACUGCUGUUGUCACCGGGCAGAAUGGCCGACUGACCAUGGGCAGGCUCGGAGCCCUCUGCGAGUAGGUGAAGAAGCUUAAUUUCCAGGGGUAUGAGGUGAUUCUGUUCGCCUCCGGCGCCGUUGGCAUCGGGAGGCAGAGGCUCAAGUACCGAAAGUUCAUCAACAACCAUGUUGCAGAGAGUUUUUUCUCACAGCAGUUUACUGACGGUCAUUGCCUCUGGUUAUCGUCACUGCUUGUGUGCUGAUAAUUCUCCUUGCUUGAAGUAUUGCCGAUCUGCAGAACCCACAGUUGGACCUGGAUGGGAAGGCCUGCGCUGCCGUCGUCCAGAGUGGCCUCAUGGCUAUCUACAAUACAUUGUUUAGCCAACUUGAUGUGACAUUGUCUCAGCUUCUUGUUAUAGAUCGUGAUUUCCGGGAUCCAAGUUUUGGGCUCCGGCUUCAUGAGACUGAAUUUUGUUCCAGGUAAAACCAGCCAAGCCGGAGAUUGCUACAAUCCUAAUUUCUUUUGCAAUAUAUAGUUGAGAGGACUCGCCCCUGCUACUGUCACUAUGGUUGCUAUUGCCGAUUAUAAAAAUUAUAUUCUUCUAUGCUUUAGUGAAGUUGGGAGGAAAGUGUUGUGGAAAGGCAUAAGCUUUUGUAGUUGUGUUGUUCUUAAUAAUGGCAUUGAAGGCCCAAAAACAUAGAUUUGGACAGGUUUUAUCUAUGUAAAAAACACAAAAGAAGAGCUGCAUGCUAUUUGUUUCUCCUGGAGUUUCUUCUUAUCAAAUAAUUCAAAUCUAAUUUACACUUCAUAAAAUAUUACAUGUCAGACUCUGAAACUUGUUGAAAACAAUGUUUGUUUGGUUGUAGAAAAACAAAGCAGUUUUCUGAACCCUGCUACUAUCACUAUGGUUGCUAUUUUCAUUUUUAUUGCAGAACGGUUCUCUCAUGGUGUUUCUAUUAGCUGCGAGGAACAUUGGGCUAGCUUUUGUCUUGAGUCUCUUAGGUGUUAUUGAGAGGUUGUACUUGCCAGUGAGCUAAAUGGCCCGUUGGAACAAUGUGACUGCUUGUUUGACCUUUUAAAAUGGUUUGGUGGUGCAGAUAAGUUUGGUCACAGCCCAUUGGAUUUAGAUUUUAGGAGCCGUGUGAAACAAUUUCUUAGGUAGGUUUUCUUUUUCUUAGGUAGGGCAUAUAGGUAGCAUGGGAAACAAUUUCUCGAGUAGGUUUAUUUGUUUUUUAUAAUAUUUGGGUACUUAUUUUCGGAUGUUUUUUAGGUUCUCUGUAUAACAUGGUAAAGUUGCUGGUAUGAUUUUGGAAGCAACAGUGAUUUUUUUCUGUCGACUUUGUGGACAGGCUAACAGUGAAAAUUUUAUUUGUAAAAUAUGGCGAUCCCUAUAGUGGUAUUUCUGAAGCUUCGCUAUGCUUGCUUUCCCACCAACAAGCAGUAAUCCAAUCACUGGUGCACCAGCGGCCAUCCACCAGGACGAUGCUGACAGCCAAAGAAAGCUCCUUCCCCACCGCUGACAGCCGAAACCGCUCUUGUGCUCAUCAAGGUUAGUCAAUGUAUAGGACUGCGCUUUUGUGUGUCCUUUCCUUCAAGCUGUCAUUCAGGAGAAGAGAGGAGCGAGGCCUCGAUCCAGACUCAGGAGGAGGAGGAGACGAGGAGCAACACCUAUUUUUAUUGUCCGUCAAGCCCCAUUAUACUUUGCGGUUCCAGCCACCUGAUCACUAACCUGAAUGAGUAAGUAGACCAUCAUAUAUGAUGGUCUUGCUUCCUUUUGUGAUCAUGUAUCUUUGUUAGAUCCGGUGAGAAAAGGCGGCUUCCAAGCAGAGGAUGCGGCAGUGUUGGCCACGUUUGGUUUUCAUAAGCUAAUAAUCUAUCCCUUCCUAUCUACUUCCUUUGUGUACCACAUUGUAACUAAUCAUCUAUGUACCAGUAGUAAAGACUUGGGUGUCUGAAUAUUCUCACAAUAGUUGUCUCCCUCU